CAAAAGAUCAAGCCAACGAGGUAUUGUAUAUCAAAUUUUUAUGUAGGUUGUAUGUCAAUUAGAAAAUUGCCAAUAAAAAUAGUUAUAUAUAUUACAGUAAAAUGAUUAUUAAUAUUGUUUAUAUUAUGGGUAAUUAAAGUGGUUCUUAUAUAAUCUUACUUCACACUAUACUUUUUUAUAUUCUACACAUAAUUGUAUUUUGGGUGCUUAAUUGCCCAAAUUUUAUUUAAACAUAUAUAUUACUAACGUUUGCCCAAGAGCACUAAAAUAACAGGCUAAAAUAACAGGCCAAAUUUCAGGCUAAUGGUUCAUAACCUACUGGUUCUUUUAUGCGGGGUUUACUGUAUAUCAAUAGACCUUAUGCAUAAUGACGUCUUAAGGCUUGAUGCCUGCGAGGAAUGCUGGUCUUGUAGUCAUCACGGUCCAGGAAAAUUUCAAUAGUGGCCAUUUGACCAGCAUUCCUCGCGGGCAUCAAGGCUUGUGACAUCAUUAUGCAUAAGGUCAAAUGAGCAGUAUGAUGUCUGAAUUGGAACACACAAUUGUACACAAAUGAAAAAUUAUCUGACUUUUUUCCAAAAUGCUCACGAUUUCUUUCUAAUUAUAUAGUUUUGCAGUUCUGACUGAGUACAAUCUUCAUAUUUAUACAAUGAAUGGUGUCAUAUGAAGCCGACGUAUUAAACAAUUACAAUCUUAAUCAUUUACACAAUGAAUGGUGUCAUGAAGCUGACGUAUUAAACAAAAAUGUCAACAAAAUAGAUUUUGUCUCCCCAUUGGCAGAGUUCUGUGGUAAGGGUAGCCUUGAAGGUGCCAUUAAAAUGAUAAUUGGGACAAAAACUGACUUACU